AUUGAACGCUGGCGGCAUGCCUUACACAUGCAAGUCGAACGGCAGCACGGGUGCUUGCACCUGGUGGCGAGUGGCGAACGGGUGAGUAAUACAUCGGAACGUACCUUAUCGUGGGGGAUAACGCAGCGAAAGCUGUGCUAAUACCGCAUACGCCCUGAGGGGGAAAGCGGGGGAUCGAAAGACCUCGCGCGAUUAGAGCGGCCGAUGCCUGAUUAGCUUGUUGGUGGGGUAAAAGCCCACCAAGGCGACGAUCAGUAGCUGGUCUGAGAGGACGAUCAGCCACACUGGGACUGAGACACGGCCCAGACUCCUACGGGAGGCAGCAGUGGGGAAUUUUGGACAAUGGGGGAAACCCUGAUCCAGCAAUGCCGCGUGAGUGAAGAAGGCCUUCGGGUUGUAAAGCUCUUUUGUCAGGGAAGAAACACCGGCUCUAACACAGUCCGGGAAUGACGGUACCUGAAGAAUAAGCACCGGCUAACUACGUGCCAGCCGCCGCCGCAG
rnacentral:rRNA from 1 species